rnacentral:snRNA from 1 species
AUUCUUACAUCAUACAUAGCAUGUAUACUAAAAUUGGAAUGAUACAGAGAAGAUUAGCAUUGCCCCGUGCAAGAACAGCACACAAAUUCAUGAAGUGUUCCGUUUUAAA